rnacentral:misc_RNA from 1 species
CACAGUACCGCUUCGACUGUGAACGCGAUAGGAAUUGGAUUGUCUAUUUUACAAAGCUCCUUUAUCUUUUGCAAUAAUUACAUUCGAAUGUCUUUUCAAGCGCUAACGAUAUAAUCGACGUUUGGUAAUAUCCAUCGACAAACGGGACAAUUCGGGUGUACAAUCUACGCCUAUAACUGCGCAGUAGGGCAUAUUGUCUCGCAAAGGCCAAAGCUGUAAAUCUUCGUUACUUAUACCGGUUUCAUGAUGAGACGAAUGAGCGAUCGUGGCGGAGAAGGAUCAGGACCAGCUCCUCAGCUAGAUGGCCGAAGAAAUUCGGUCGUUACGAUGGAAAGAGUGUCAUCGACGUUGUUUGGCAGUAAUCGUCAGUUGGACGUUAUGGACAACAUCGCAGACCUAAAAGCGAGGAAGAUGGAGUUAGAACAAUUAUUAAAUAGGCGAAAAUUAACAGUUAAAAUUACG